UACGUAGGGUGCAAGCGUUAAUCGGAAUUACUGGGCGUAAAGCGUGCGCAGGCGGUUCGGAAAGAAAGAUGUGAAAUCCCAGAGCUUAACUUUGGAACUGCAUUUUUAACUACCGAGCUAGAGUGUGUCAGAGGGAGGUGGAAUUCCGCGUGUAGCAGUGAAAUGCGUAGAUAUGCGGAGGAACACCGAUGGCGAAGGCAGCCUCCUGGGAUAACACUGACGGCUCAUGCACGAAAGCGUGGGGAGCAAACAGG
rnacentral:rRNA from 1 species